rnacentral:rRNA from 1 species
AUACGGAGGGUGCAAGCGUUAUUCGGAAUCACUGGGCGUAAAGGACGCGUAGGCGGGUUGGCAAGUCAGAUGUGAAAUCCUACAGCUUAACUGUAGAACUGCAUUUGAAACUGCUAACCUAGAGUAUGGGAGGGGGAGAUGGAAUUAGUGGUGUAGGGGUAAAAUCCGUAGGUAUCACUAGGAAUACCGAAAGCGAAGGCGAUCUCCUGGAACAUAACUGACGCUAAGGCGUGAAAGCGUGGGGAGCAAACAGGAUUAGAAACCCUUGUAGUCC